GUCAGUUCAGAGAGAAAAAGAGAAAGGUCAUGGUGCUUGAAAAGCAUGCCCAGCCUGGACUUAUGAAAAUAUGCAAAAGACAAAGGAAGAGAAAGGAAAGUUAUGCUUUAUUGAGUGAUUCAAAUAGCAGCCACAUUGUGGUGGGAGUGCAAGUGACUGCAGUGAGGCUGGGUUUUUGGGAAGCAAAAGUACAGUAUCUCUCUAAAGCCUAAUUAUUCUUCCCAUCUCUCCAGUAUGGCUUAAGAUGAAUUAGCCCUCCUAAGUGGUAGUCUGAACUAGGUGAUCGGCAAGCACAGCUGGAUUAAUUUAUGUUUGGGCAGUUUGGAAUGUUAGGUCUGUAGCCAAGGCCAGAGAUUAGGCCCAUUCUUUUGACCAGAAGAAAUAGCUUCUCCUUAAUGAGCCUCAAUAAGAGCCCUGAUGAUGCUCUGAAGAGGCAACUAUAUCAUUUAGGAGAUGCACUGAAAAUUGAGGAUUAGAUCGAAACCACUUUACCAUGAAAAUCUAGAGAACAAAUUCUACAGCUGUUCACCAGAAGGGAUUUGUGUCUGGAGUUCUGCUCACACCCUCAGGUAGAGCCUCCAGGCAAGGAUGCUUAUUUAAGAGGCAGAGGAUACCAGAUUUCCCUUCUUGCAUUCCUAGCCAGAGAACCAAGGUCAAUCAGAAACUUCUGCUUUGGGGAGCCCUGUGCCUAAAGGGUCAGCCAUUUCCUCCUAUCCUUGUCCUCAUCAGUAUUACUUGUUUAAUUACCUUUUCCAGGAAGACUGAGCGAACCCGGGUUAGUGCUGUCAAGGCUCAAGCUUUGAACCCUAGUAACUCCAGUAGCAAUUUCUGUAAUCACACAUCUCAAGAAGCAACUUAAGAGAGAAAGGGGUUUACUGGGCUCAGAGUUCAAUGGCGUGCACUUCGCCAUGGUUUUGUGGCAAAAGCACAGCAGGGGGAGAAGGAGGCAGCUGGUCAUAUAACUAAAACAGAAAUGAAUGUUGCUCAGAAAUUGAGUCCAUGAACCUAGUCCAUGAGAUGGUGCCAUUCACUUUGGGAGUGCAUCAUCUUCCUGCUCAGUUAAAGCUUUUUGGAACUGCCCUCAGGUAGAUUUCCAUGAUUCUAAAUUCUGUCAUGUUAUGAUUAACCAUUACACCAGUCCUUCUCACCAUGACACCAGAAGAUGAAUUCUUUGGAAUCGGGGGUUAGUUAUAAGGCUUUGGACUAAAGACGGUACAGAAAUACUCGAAAGGUUUGUACCUAGUUGUGUAUUUCCUGUUUCCUGUAUCCUGAGACAGUCCAGGGCAAAUAAAGCAUUGUAAUCUGACAGAUUCCAGGACAAAGCUUGCCAGCAAUAAACAAAACUUACUCCUAGGGGUGUAGGACAUGUUCAUAUGCUGGAGAGAAGUGUUUAACACCAGAGGCCAUCAUUCUGUCAUGUGUGGACAGUCUGAUUCCUAGGUUCUAGUUUGACAAUAAGAUUUGAACUCAGACUGCAAUAUUGAAGCUAUGUUCUACAUAGGUCAUUUUAAACCAGCAUCAUGGUUAUCAUUGUCAAUGAGACAGAGCUAGAAAAACCUAGAGGGUAGAAUAUGUCUGGGCAUGUCUGGGGGGGGUUGUUUUGGGAUUGGAUUGAAGUGGGAGGACACACCCUAGAAGUGGGUGGUGCCAUGCCAAGAGCAGGGCUCCAGGACUGCAUAAAAAGAAGGCAGCCCAGGUUAGUUCUCUAGGAGUUUGAGUUGUCUCCAUCUUACUUGUCUUGUGGGAAGGCUCUCAGGUGAAGGAGUGGAGAUAGGGGCUCCAGGCUUCUGGCAAUAGGACCGCCACUGCCUUUCGACCCAGAAAUUUUCCCAUUUUAUCCUGUAUUCAGUUGCUCCUGGCCCCAGAAAGAUUACCACCAUGGAGUCUUCAAAGCUGCACCCUGGUGAGGUGGUGACCAGUACAGAGGGCACCGACACUGAACAGUCAUGGGGCAUCAAGAGUCCAGAAAAAACAAGGAUUCAAGUGGCCUCAGCAGCAAGCCACAGAAGUAGUGCCAGGAGCAUGGAGCCCAGCCCCGACAAAGCUGGAUGGAGCUCCCAGUGCUACAGAGGAAGAAGAAUCAAAACCACAACUUUGAGGCUCCAGCCAGCUGCAAACCUAGCUCAGGUGCCAACUCACUCAGCACUGAAGAGACCAAUGAACACCACACAAAGUUGGGGCUAAAAGGCAUGGAAGCCAGUGCCACCAGAGAAACCAAAUGGGAAAGGAUGGAGAACUGGGAACCCCGGUGGAAGAAGGCUGGAACUUCCGAGGUGACUGCUGCAGGGAACCACUCAGAGGAUGAGGAGGACCAGGACUAUGUUCCCUAUGUGCCAUUGCGGCUGCGUCGAUAACUUCGGCUCCAGCAACUGUUGGAGAGAACAGGCAAACGAGCUGGAGCAGAAAAUGGCCAACAGGAACCCGGAAAUGACGACAUCCUGAUGGGCCCUCAGUCCAAGGUCAGUCUCCUGGAUCAGCACCAGCACCUCAAAGAGAAGGCUGAAGGACAAAAGGAGUCUGCCAAGGAGAAGCAAUUAAGGGAAGAGGAGAAGAUUCUGGAGAGUGUGGCUGAGGGGAGAGCCUUGAUGUCUGUGAGGGAAAUGGCCAAGGGCAUCACAUAUUCUGAUCCAAUCAAAACCAGCUAGACUCCUCCAUGCUACUUCCUGAGCAUGUCUGAGGGGAGGCAUGAGCACGUUCAAAAGAAGUACCACAUCCUGGUAGAGGGAGACGGUAUUCCACCACCCAUCAAGAGCUUCCAGGAAAUGAAGUUUCCUGCAGCCAUUCUUCGGGGCCUGAAGAAGAAAGGAAUCUACCACCCAACACCCAUCCAGAUCCAGGGCAUCCCCACCGUUCUGUCUGGUCGGGACAUGAUAGGUAUUGCCUUUACGGGAUCAGGCAAGACACUGGUAUUUGCCCUGCGUCUCAUCAUGUUCUGCCUGGAACAAGAGAAAUGCCUGCCGUUCUCCAAGCAUGAAGGGCCUUAUGGACUCAUCAUCUGCCGCUCUCGAGAGCUGGCCUGCAGACCCAUGACAUCCUGGAGUAUUAUUGCCAUUUGUUGCAAGACAGCAGCUUCCCGCAUCUGUGCUAUGCUCUCUGCAUCGGGAGCAAGUCUGUCAAAGAGCAGAUGGAGACCAUCAAACAUGGUGUGCACAUGAUGGUAGCCACCCCUGGGCGCCUUAUCGAUUUGCUUCAGAAGAAAAUAGCCUAGACACCUGCUGCUACUUGGCUCUGGAUGAGGCUGACCACAUGAUCGACAUAGGCUUUGAGGGUGACAUUUGCACCAUCUUCUCCUACUUCCAGGGCCAGAGGCAGACACUACUCUUCAGUGCCACCAUGCCAACAAAGAUUCAGAAUUUUGCUGAGUGCCCUUGUAAAGCCUGUCAUCAUUAAUGUAGGGUGAGCUGGAGCUGCUAGCCUGGAUGUCAUCCCGGAAGUGGAAUAUGUGAAGGAGGAAACCAAGAUGGCAUCCUGCUUGAGUGUCUGCAGAAGAUACCCAUACUGGUGCUCAUCUUUGCAGAGAAGAAAGCAGAUGUGGAUGCCAUCCACGGAUACCUGCUGCUCAAGGGGGUUGAAGCUGUGGCUAUUCAUGGGGGCAGAGACCAGGAUGAACGAACCAAGGCCACUGAGGCAUUCCAUAAGGAAAAGAAGGAUAUAUUAGUGGCCACAGAUGUGGCCUCCAAGGGCCUGGACUUCCCUACUAUCCAACAUGUCAUCAAUUAUGACAUGCCUGAGGAUAUCGAGAACUAUGUACACCGAAUAGGCUGCACUGGGCGCUCAGGAAACACUGGGAUCGCCACCACCUUCAUCAAGUUCUGUGAUGAGUCAGUCCUCAUGGACCUCAAGGCUUUACUGUUAGAGGCCAAGCAGAAGGUUCCCCCUGUGCUGCAAGCCCUGAAGUGUGGGAAUGAGUCCAUGUUGGGCAUCCGAGGAGAGUGUGGCUGUGCCUUAUGUGGGGGCCUGGGCCAUUGGAUCACUGACUGCCCCAAAUUGGAGGCUAUGCAGACCAAGCAGGUCAUCAGCAUUGGCCACAAAGACUACCUGGCGCACAGCCCCAUAGACUUCUGAACCACCUGCUUCCCCUCUUUUCUCCACGAGGCCUCAGUCCCAAGACGCUAGCCAUGCUCACACAUCAGUCUCCAGGACAAGAAGCCAGCAUCUUU